AGGUUGUAACAUCCGCCACCAUCUUCCCCGACAUGGCAGCAAUCUAAAACCAGGGCGUCCUCUAAUCAAGUCACGUUGUCAAAGGAUCUGAUUCUUACACCA